rnacentral:rRNA from 1 species
GGCCGCGGGAAUUCGAUUCAGGCCUAACACAUGCAAGUCGAACGAGACCUUCGGGUCUAGUGGCGCACGGGUGCGUAACGCGUGGGAACCUGCCUUUAGGUUCGGAAUAACUCAGAGAAAUUUGAGCUAAUACCGGAUGAUGUCUUCGGACCAAAGAUUUAUCGCCUUUAGAUGGGCCCGCGUUGGAUUAGCUAGUUGGUGGGGUAAAGGCCUACCAAGGCGACGAUCCAUAGCUGGUCUGAGAGGAUGAUCAGCCACACUGGGACUGAGACACGGCCCAGACUCCUACGGGAGGCAGCAGUGGGGAAUAUUGGACAAUGGGCGAAAGCCUGAUCCAGCAAUGCCGCGUGAGUGAUGGAGGCCUUAGGGUUGUAAAGCUCUUUUACCCGAGAUGAUAAUGACAGUAUCGGGGAGAA